UUCUGUGGAACUACAUCUGCCCUGCUUACUACCAGCCGCCAUUUGCAGGACAUCCAAUUGAACAACAGCGCUGAAGUAGGGAAUAUUGGAUGCUCAACCACACCAAGUUUUGAACCUAUGAUGUGGACCCGAUCACCUUCAUCGACCCGAUCACCUUCAUCAGAUAUUUCCCACGUGCUAAACCAAGUGUGGGUUCCUUGUUCUUACCUCUGAAAGACAUCCAUGCACGCAACAUGAGAAGAAAACAGCCAUCUCAUCACCUUGUCUGCCUUCCUCCUACCAUUUUCUCGAGGAUCAUAAACAAAUGGAGAAGACACAAUUAGAGAUAUAUCCUUGAAUCCAUAUUAUUUUUCUUUGACCAUGGCUCCACCAUAUAGGGGCAGUUUGAAAAGCUGCUGAAAUCAAUACAAAGCUUAAGAAGACAGUCAUUCCUGCCUGGUGAUUGUUCUCUUGAUUAGGGUGGGUCUGGCUCUGGAAAUUCCAUUGUCGCAGAUCAACUAUGGUGCCCUUGAAUAUCACAUUUCAUCUGAGAAUCCAAUUACUGCCUUCUUUGAUUAAGACAACCUGGGAAGAUCUUCAUAUAUUGAUUUUAAAUCAUGAUGUUACAAAAAUAGUAUCGCAUAUCAAAUAUUUCUUUUUAUGUUGUGCUUUUGUUUUUGAAGUUAGGUGUGAACAUGAUACACAAGUUCAUAUUUUUAUGAAUUUUACAAACAUCCUUUUCAUAGUGCACUCUGGAAGAGCAUGAAAAAGCACCAUAAUGUUUUGGGUGUGGGGGAGGGUGCAAAAUUUUCAUGCUGUAUCAUCAUUGUCCCACUUUUUUGUUGGGGGCAAACUACAUAAUCACACUAUAUUUUUCCAAUACUGCUGUCUAAAACAAAUUUGUAUGCUAAUAUACAUGCAAAGGCAGUAGCAUAUACCACCUGAUUCUUAUAUUAAUUUUCUUGUCUUUCAUGGGUUAUGGGCUCCCAACGGCUUGAAAGCUCAAGCUCUCAACAACUAUUUUUCCUGUAGGUUCCAUUUCCAAUCCAAAUCGCCCAAGAUCUUUGCUGAUGUCUGCAACCGGACGAAUGCAAAUCAUGUGACGGUUCAAGGUAAUAUAAAACUGUAAAAAAGAGGGUAAGGGACCAAAUUUUGUUUGGACAUAGUUUUGCUGUACCCCUAUUGAAAACAAAAUACGUCGCCUUACCAUCUAAUGUGUUUCGUCGGAUCUCACGGACAAGCCUAGUCCAGGUAUGUAGGAACUUGCCCCAAGUAAGAACAGGUGACUCUGACUUCUGAGUGUUGCUCCAUACUAAAAUGCUAACCUUAUGCAUCGACAGAUCUGCCAUGGCUGCAUAGGCUGGUGCUGGUACAGAAUACCAAUGAUUGGGAUUACACACAUUCAAUGAGAUAGUGUCGGAAAAUUGUUAGAUCAUGGAUGCAUGGGUAUUAUUCAGACAAUCAAACAUCCAUAACCUGAAAUAUUCCACUGUUUGUGUUACAUGGCAGAUGCAUUCAUGGCUAGGAACGCACGUGUUCUGUGACCGGAGUCCGGAGAAGAUCAGCAGCAUUGACAUGUGUGGGCACUUGAGGAGGAGUUGGUGUGCAGCAAGUAGGCAACACUACCUGGAGCUUCAAGUUAGUUUAUCUGCUUCCAAUAAAGACAGGUCCUCUUCAUCGGUGACGAACUUUGCCGCUCUCGACACUCUUUCAAGCAGCUGCCAUUGUUUGAAACGACCCAGAUGCCUCCGGCCAGCCUGCAGGGCUGCCAGGCGCUCUCUUGGACGCCAAAUCCUGGUUUUAUUGGGCUUCCGGUCGAGCUUUCAAGAUGGAAGUUGAGGCCCAAGCCUAGGCCGACUUGACCGGGUUGAGCUGUCGAACGUGUGCUGCUGGGCAAAUUAAUACUCACUCCGGCCCAUAAUAUAAGGGAUUUUGAGUU